rnacentral:lncRNA from 1 species
GCCGACAACUUAUUUUUUUUCUUUAUGUGUGUGAUAUUUUGAGGAGGUUUUCAUCAUAGAAAAUUAGUUGGAGAACUGAUUUACUAUGGAAAAAUAUGGAAUGGGGUGUCCCAUAUUUUGUUGGGCAUGUUUUAGUGUGAAUAGAUGAGAGGAGGCGACAUCUUGUUAGAGUCCAUGAUCUCUAGGACUCUUCACCCUUAUUCCUUACACAUCAAUAAA